rnacentral:rRNA from 1 species
UGAGUACGAGAUGCUACGGCGUCGAAGCAGUCUAUGUCAUACUUCCAAGAAAAGCUUGCACUGUCAUAAACAAAUAAUGCCUGUACCAUAACCGACACAGGUGGGUAGGUAGAGUAUACUAAGGGGCGCGAGAUAACUCUCUCUAAGGAACUCGGCAAAAUGACUCCGUAACUUCGGGAGAAGGAGUGCCUUAUUUUAUAAGGUUGCAAUAACAAGAUCCAAGCAACUGUUUACCAAAAACACAGGUCUCCGCUAAGUCGUAAGACGAUGUAUGGGGGCUGACGCCUGCCCAGUGCCAGAAGGUUAAAGAAGUCGGUUAGUUUACGCGAAGCUGGUAACUGAAACCCUGGUGAACGGCGGCCGUAACAAUAACGGUCCUAAGGUAGCGAAAUUCCUUGUCGGGUAAGUUCCGACCCGCACGAAAGGCGUAAUGAUUUGGAUACUGUCUCGGAGAGGGACUCGGUGAAAUAGACUUGUCUGUGAAGAUGCGGACUACCUGCACCAGGACAGAAAGACCCUAUGAAGCUUUACUGUAACUUGAAAUUGAAGUUGGACUUUACUUGCGCAGUAUAGGUGGGAGGCUUUGAGAAUAUUCUUGCGGGAAUAUUGGAGCCAUCAGUGAGAUACCACUCUGGUAAUGUUAGAUUUCUAACUUUGAAUCAUUAUCUGGUCAAAGAACAGUUUCAGGCGGGCAGUUUGACUGGGGCGGUCGCCUCCUAAACGGUAACGGAGGCGCACAAAGGUUUCCUCUGAACGGGUAGAAAUCGUAUCUAGAGUGUAAAGGCAUAAGGAAGCUUGACUGUGAGACCUACAAGUCGAGCAGGGACGAAAGUCGGUCUUAAUGAUCUGACGGUGCUGAGUGGAAAGGCCGUCACUCAACGGAUAGAAGUUACUCUAGGGAUAACAGGCUGAUCUCCCCCAAGAGUUCACAUCGACGGGGAGGUUUGGCACCUCGAUGUCGGCUCAUCGCAUCCUGGGGCGGUAGUACGUCCCAAGGGUUGGGCUGUUCGCCCAUGAAAGCGGUACGCGAGCUGGGUUCAGAACGUCGUGAGACAGUUCGGUCCAUAUCCAGUGUAGGCGUUAGAAUAUUGAGAGGAGCCUUUUUUAGUACGAGAGGACCGAGAAGGAUGCACCUCUGGUGUACCAGUUAUUGUGCCAACAGUAAACGCUGGGUAGCUAUGUGUGGAGUGGAUAACCGCUGAAAGCAUCUAAGUGGGAAGCCCACCUCAAGAUAAGUAUUC